rnacentral:rRNA from 1 species
AUUGAACGCUGGCGGCAGGCCUAACACAUGCAAGUCGAGCGGAUGAAGGGAGCUUGCUCCUGGAUUCAGCGGCGGACGGGUGAGUAAUGCCUAGGAAUCUGCCUGGUAGUGGGGGAUAACGUCCGGAAACGGGCGCUAAUACCGCAUACGUCCUGAGGGAGAAAGUGGGGGAUCUUCGGACCUCACGCUAUCAGAUGAGCCUAGGUCGGAUUAGCUAGUUGGUGGGGUAAAGGCCUACCAAGGCGACGAUCCGUAACUGGUCUGAGAGGAUGAUCAGUCACACUGGAGCUGAGACACGGUCCAGACUCCUACGGGAGGCAGCAGUGGGGAAUAUUGGACAAUGGGCGAAAGCCUGAUCCAGCCAUGCCGCGUGUGUGAAGAAGGUCUUCGGAUUGUAAAGCACUUUAAGUUGGGAGGAAGGGCGGUAAGUUAAUACCUUGCUGUUUUGACGUUACCAACAGAAUAAGCACCGGCUAACUUCGUG